UGGCAACAGAUUUUACAUGCAGGUGGAAAAUUUGGUGGUUUAAGUAGUGGUUACAGUGUCUCAGGUGGACUACAUAGCGUGGGUUUGUCCGUUGUGAAUGCGUUAUCUGAGGCAUUAGAAGUUAUUGUUUGGCGUGAUGGGAAGGAAUACCAACAAAAAUAUUCCCGUGGAAAGCCUGUAACAACUUUAAUAUGUCAUGAGCUUCCAGAUGAAUCAAAAGAUCGUCAAGGGACACACAUUAAGUUUUGGCCUGACAAAGAAGUAUUCACUACUGCAAUUCAGUUUGAUUACCCCACCAUUGCUGGACGAAUUAGGGAGCUUGCAUUUUUAAACCCUGAGGUGGAGUCAUUACAACCUGCUUGCAGUUCCGUUGCAUCUUUGAAACUUUUAUUCAAUUGAUUUUAGCAUGUCUCUUGAAUUCUUCAUUUUUUUCUUUUUGAAUUUGGUGUUUAUUUAUUUAUUUAUUUUAAUACUUUGAACAAGGUGGAAUUUUCCUCGACAUUUACCAACCUUAAGUUGAAUCUGCUUUCUAUUUUUGCAGCUCCUCGAAUGUGGAGAUGUGGUCUAUCUCAAUCUGAUGAGUGCAUAUUCUGAAAUAUGCUGGAUUAUUCUUAUGUUAUUUAGAUUAGUACUUAAUGGUAGUUUAGUCUUGGCAUAUGCAAUUAAGAUUUUAGAGUUUCUUAUGUGCUUAUUUAACUUGUACCUUGCAUUCAAUAAUGAAAUAAUAAUAAUCUGAUUACCUUUGCAAUUGUUUCACAUAUUGUACUUAAAAUUUCUUUGCGAUAAAACUGUGUCCGUGCAAUAAUGUUAGAAGAUUAUAUAGGUAAGCCAGUGUGUAAAAAGGGCUGGCCUGCUCUACCUCGACUUGCAUUGCUCAUCUCCCCGUACAUACCUCAAACCUGCAGAUGGGGCAACAGGUUGUAGAAUUUGAAGCUAUGAUGAAAUAAUGUAGGUUCCACAUUAGAGUUGGCAUAAUGAAUGGCCAUAGACUAAACUGGGGACCUAAUUCGAUGCAGUGAGCUUGGUAUCACAUUUGCUGAUUUCAGAUGUGUCCUUGACAACCUGGCAGUUGUUAGCCUCUGCUUUCGGUGCUAGGAGUGCUUGGUUGUUUCCCUCUCUUGACUUUGUUUGAAUAAAUAUAUCUUGCACGUAGUUGCUAAAUAUAGAUCAACUAAUAAGGUCGUAAAUAUGUGGAUUUUAUUCAAUUAAGGAUUUAAAACAAUGUUUUGCCUUUGUCAAAUUGGUUUUGUUACUGAGUAUUAUGAUUCGCGUAACCUAAUCUUUGCUUUUACCUAAAAUAUUUUUAUCCUAUAAAUUGUCCAAAGACCUUAUGCCCUCUUAUAGACCAAAGUCUACCUUGUAAUACAUGGAGAUUAUCCAGUAAUUCUCUCUUUCUUGAAUGCCUUCAGGGCACAAUAUGCUGUGUUGAAAGAAGAGUGCCACCAAUUGUUUCCCAUUGUUGGAAGUGGUAGGUUUAUUACUGCACCAGUAAUCACUGAAGAUGGUGAUCCUAUUCAAGAUCCUAUAGUGCUUCUGGAAGCAAAUCCGGACAAGGGAUUGGCUACAGUUUCUCAAGAAAAUGCAACUCCUUGCAGCUCAACAAUGGUAAAAGAAGUGGGCAAGAAAAUAAUCCAAUGGAAGCUUACAUUACAUCAAAUAGGUCUCGAUGUGGUUCGCACUGAUAGGACUCUAGUUUUCUAUGAGAAGCAAGAAAACUUGUCAAAACUUUGGGACAUUCAUGCUGUCUAUGCAUGGUUUGAUAUAGAUGUAGGCUACUGUCAAGGUAGGUAGUCAAAUUAUGACUUCAAUAA